rnacentral:ncRNA from 1 species
GAACGCCGUGUGAGCGGGAAACUCUCAUGCACGGUGUGAAUCGGGGGAAAAGAUGGAGAUAGUAUCAAAGUCUUACCUAUCGAUAU